AUUCUACUCCCUCCGUUGCACAAUACAUGCCUUCUAUUUGUCAAAAUAUAUAUGUAUCUAGACAUGUUUUAGUAUAUAGGCACAUCCAUUUUUGGACAAAUGGAAGUCAAGUAUUUUGGAACGGAGGGAGUACACA
rfam:Triticum aestivum genome assembly, contig: Triticum_aestivum_CS42_TGACv1_scaffold_222245_3B